AUCAUUUUGAUGGUUAUCGGUCAGAGGAAAGAUAUUGAAAACUUGUAUGAAAUAUCUCGGGUACAAAAGAGCAUUUCAAGAUUCAGCACUAAAAGCUGCAAUCAGUCUGCCAAGGUUUUUUGCUAUAAGUCUACUGCAAGUGCAUGAAAGCCUUGGCAGACAUUUUGUCCACAAUAUGUGGAUCAAUAUGAAAUAACAUAUUUCAAAUAAUAUACAGGUUGGAAUUCGCAUGAGGGAAAUCAGACACAUGAGUGUAAAGAUCCAUCUGUAUAUUAGACUGCUUACAUUUUCCAACUUUGUAAGCAACUCGAAGAAUAACAUGGCGUGUUACAGGACCACCUGUGAGCACGAAGGUGCAGUUACGUUGAACAUCAGUUCAAGCCAGCUUAACUUCACAAAGUACUAACUUUAAAAGUUAAAACACUUGCAGUAAACAGUUACGUCUAGAUGUUCCUGGAAAAACUAAACUAAACUUCUGUCUAAAACUUCAGGUCGGGCAACUAAAAAUAUUUAACAUCUCUCUUCUGUUUACUGCAUUUGUUCACUGUAGUUUCGUCUUUCGAAUGUCAUCUUCACUAACUGCCCGAAACUACAGUGUGUUAAAUUAUAAAGCGCAGUUUUAUCGUUGUGUGUCAUUAGACACAUCUGGGGAACAUUGUCGUAUCUAGUUCCUAAGAAAAUCGUUUGUUUGUCGACAGUUUCUACUUCAGAAACGUUGACUUGCUACGAUCAAAAUUGUGUUGUGUAAUUAUCUGUCCACGUAUUAUGUAAUUAGUUUUGUUUUAGUUAAUGUACUGUCUAAAAUUGAGCUAGCUACCGUUCUUUUUAACCAAUUGUGAUGUUGCGUUCGAGAGUUUUUCAUCUGUUUUCAUUCGGUUAAAUCUGUUUUCAUAGUGAGGGAAAAACAAUGUUGAAUAGUUAAGACGCUUCCUACAGGUUUUUCUAAAUCGUUGAAGAGACACGGUAGCUGGUGUUAUAUGUUAAUUAUUGUUAUUAAAGUUUCGUUGCAUGAUCAUGUUUGGAUUUGAUCAGUACUUUAGGGUCAAUAGUGGUUGUUAGUUCGUAUUUCGGUUUAAAGAUUGUCUGCAGAUCUGCGGUAUAUUGAUAAUUAAUGAUUCUCUUAGUAUAAACAAUGAGAAAAAAUCUUAAUUUGCUUCUGCACUUUUGAUUAUUUCUCAUUCAUCUGUUAGCAAAUGUUGUGUAAUUUUUCUUGUCCGAACCAAUAAAAUAUUUGUUGUUA